rfam:Colinus virginianus strain Texas jcf7180006227090, whole genome shotgun sequence.
GGAUGUGAGGGCGAUCUGGCUGCGACAUCUGUCACCCCAUUGAUCGCCAGGGUUGAUUCGGCUGAUCUGGCUGGCUAGGCGGGUGUCCCCUUCCUCCCUCACCGCUCCAUGUGCGUCCCUCCCGAAGCUGCGCGCUCGGUCGAAGAGGACGACCUUCCCCGAUAGAGACGGUACCGUUCAUCGGUCAAGGGUAUACGGUAGCUGCGCUCCCCUGCUAGAACCUCCAAACAAGCUCAAGGUCCAUUUGUAGGAGAACGUAGGGUAGUCAAGCUUCCAAGACUGCAGACACAUCCAAGUGAGGCACUGCAU